ACUUCCUCUUCCAAGCAGAGCUGCCCAAGGGAAGGUGAGAUUGGAUCAAUGUCCAGAGCUGAAAGGGGUCUGUGCCUUGGAGGAAGCCAGAUGUCCUAAGAAAUGAGAAUGAGGAGAAGCACAUCCUAGGCAUGGGACAACUAGUAAAGAGACCCCGAGGAAGGAGACGCCAAGUUUGAGGCAUAAAAUGUAGACAAAUCUGACUGGAACAUGGAGCUCAUGAAGGGGGCAAGAUCCAAUAAACUUGGAAAAGGAGCCUGGAGAGAGAUUUUGAAGGGCUUUUAAAAACAUGAUUGGAAGAGAGUAAAAGAAAACAAGAAGAGGGAAGAGAUACAUUUCUGGACAAUGUCAUUGUGUAAAUUCUCAAAAGAGUAUAUAUAGUAAGGAACUCAGCUACAUAAAUAAUCCUACUUCCACUUUGAAUCUUUAUUGAUUGACUUCUAAGCCGGGGCUGAACAUCUUUUGUGAGCAUCUACCUCCUUGUAUUAGUCUCAGUUGAUAUUUGUCAUUACAGGGUUGAUGAAUAAAUUUCUUAGUCUUACAUGUCUCAGGCAAUUUUGCAUGGUUACAUGGCAAUGCCAUGGAAAAGAAGGACCUUGAAAAAUACUUUGUUCUAUUGAAUCAAAUGGUUUGAUAGGCAACAACAACAAAAAUCAGCAUAAAAAAAACUGGAAUCUAUGCAGGAUUAGAGAAUGACUGAACAUUUAUGGUAUGUAAAUGCAAUGGAUGUUAUUGUGUUUUUAGAAAUAAUGGAAGAAGAUUUUGGAGGAUCCUGGGAAAUACAAACUGGUGUAGAAUGAAGGGAAUAGAAUAAGGAGAACAAUUUAUGCAAUGAUAGCAACUUUAUAAAGAAAAAUAACUCUGAAGACAAAAGAAUUCUGUUCUAAUCAACUGUCUCUCUUCCAAUGACCAACCAUAAAUCUAGAAAAUCUAUGAUGAAGCAUUCUAUUUACCUCUUGGUGGAGUUGAUGAACUGCAGAAAGAGAUACAUACUUUUUGACAUAGCUAUGGUAUCAAUUUAUUUUGCUUUUCUAUAUAUAUUUGUUAAAAAGUAUUUUCACUCUGCUUUGGGGAAGAGGGAAUGAGAGAGGUUAGCAAUAGUGAUGCCAAAUCAAUCUUGAAAGAAUCAAGGAACAUUUAUAAUGCAAAAAGAGAUCAGAAGUUCCAAAAGAAUCACAGAUAAGCAGGAUGGUUUUGAAAGUUAAUGUGUUAAAUUUGUUAUAUUUUUAAAGUAUGAAAUAAAAGUUCAUUAUUUCAUAUAUGAUCUUUUGGGGGGGUUUCUGUAUAUAUUAAGAUGUUCUUUAUGUGAGUAUUUAAGGUUUAUAAUUUAAAAUAAUUUUAAAGAAAAAACAAACAAGGAAUAAGCAUAAUAGGAUUCAUAAUCACUCAAAAGAAUUUAGCCUACCUGUAUACACAGGAAAAACAAAGUAGAGAAAAAUGGUCAUUGUCUAGACCAUAAUAUACAAUUAAAGGGACAAUCUGUAGAGUCUAUCAGUUUCUCUCUCUCUUUAUGUGUGUGUAGAUAGAUAGAUAGAUAGAUAGAUAGAUAGAUAGAUAGAUAGAUAGAUAUCUUGGACAAACA